rnacentral:rRNA from 1 species
AGCGAACGCUGGCGGCAGGCCUAACACAUGCAAGUCGAACGAACCCUUCGGAGUUAGUGGCGGACGGGUGAGUAACACGUGGGAACGUGCCCUUUGGUUCGGAAUAACUCAGGGAAAGGUGUGCUAAUACCGAAUGUGCCCUUCGGGCGAAAGAUUUAUCGCCAUUAGAGGGGCCCGCGUCUGAUUAGCUAGUUGGUGAGGUAACAGCUCACCAAGGCGACGAUCAAUAGCUGGUCUGAGAGGAUGACCAGCCACACUGGGACUGAGACACGGCCCCGACUCCUCCGGGAGGGCGGAGUGGGGAAUCUUGCGACAUGGGCGAAAGGCUGACGCCGCCAUGCCGGGUGAAUGAUGAAAGUCUUAGGAUUGUAAAAUUCUUUUAACGGGGAAGAUAAUGACGGUACCCGGAGAAGAAGCCCCGGCUAACUUCGUG